rnacentral:rRNA from 1 species
ACACAUGUACAGUGGCGAACGGGUGAGGACUACAUGGGUAACCUACCCUCGAGUGGGGAAUAACUAGCCGAAAGGUUAGCUAACACCGCGUACGCUUCCAAAACUGCGGUUUUGGAAGGAAAGCGAUACCGUGGGUAUCGCGCUCUUGGAUGGGCUCAUGCCCUAUCAGCUUGUUGGUGAGGUAACGGCUCACCAAGGCUUCGACGGGUAGCUGAUCUGAGAGGAUGAUCAGCCACACUGGCACUGCGACACGGGCCAGACUCCUACGGGAGGCAGCAGUAAGGAAUAUUGCGCAAUGGGCGAAAGCCUGACGCAGCGACGCCGCGUGGGGGAUGAAGGUCUUCGGGUUGUAAACCCCUUUCGGGAGGGAAGAUGGGAUGGGGUAACCCAUUCGGACGGUACCUCCAGAAGCAGCCACGGCUAACUUCGUGCCAGCAGCCGCGGUAAUACGAAGGUGGCAAGCGUUGUUCGGAUUUACUGGGCGUACAGGGAGCGUAGGCGGUUGGAUAAGCCCUCCGUGAAAUCUCCAGGCUUAACCUGGAAAGUGCAGAGGGGACUGUUCAGCUAGAGGAUGGGAGAGGAGCGCGGAAUUCCCGGUGUAGCGGUGAAAUGCGUAGAGAUCGGGAGGAAGGCCGGUGGCGAAGGCGGCGCUCUGGAACAUUUCUGACGCUGAGGCUCGAAAGCGUGGGGAGCAAACAGGAUUAGAUACCCUGGUAGUCCACGCCUUAAACGAUGGAUACUAAGUGUCGGCGGGUUACCGCCGGUGCCGCAGCUAACGCAGUAAGUAUCCCGCCUGG